UGAAUACGAGAUGCUACGGCGUCGAAGCAGUCUAUGUCAUACUUCCAAGAAGAGCUUGCACUGUCAUAAACAAAUAAUGCCUGUACCAUAACCGACACAGGUGGGUAGGUAGAGUAUACUAAGGGGCGCGAGAUAACUCUCUCUAAGGAACUCGGCAAAAUGACUCCGUAACUUCGGGAGAAGGAGUGCCUUAUUUAUAAGGUUGCAAUAACAAGAUCCAAGCAACUGUUUACCAAAAACACAGGUCUCCGCUAAGUCGUAAGACGAUGUAUGGGGGCUGACGCCUGCCCAGUGCCAGAAGGUUAAAGAAGUUGGUUAGCAUCCGCGAAGCUGAUAACUGAAGCCCUGGUGAACGGCGGCCGUAACAAUAACGGUCCUAAGGUAGCGAAAUUCCUUGUCGGGUAAGUUCCGACCCGCACGAAAGGCGUAAUGAUUUGGAUACUGUCUCGGAGAGGGGCUCGGUGAAAUAGACUUGUCUGUGAAGAUGCGGACUACCUGCACCAGGACAGAAAGACCCUAUGAAGCUUUACUGUAACCUGAAAUUGAAAUUGGACUUUACUUGCGCAGUAUAGGUGGGAGGCGUUGAGAAUAUUCUUGCGGGAUUAUUGGAGCCAUCAGUGAGAUACCACUCUUGUAAUGUUAGAUUUCUAACUUUGUAUCAUUAUCUGGUCAAAGAACAGUUUCAGGCGGGCAGUUUGACUGGGGCGGUCGCCUCCUAAACGGUAACGGAGGCGCACAAAGGUUUCCUCUGAACGGGUAGAAAUCGUAUCUAGAGUGUAAAGGCAUAAGGAAGCUUGACUGUGAGACCUACAAGUCGAGCAGGGACGAAAGUCGGUCUUAGUGAUCUGACGGUGCUGAGUGGAAAGGCCGUCACUCAACGGAUAAAAGUUACUCUAAGGAUAACAGGCUGAUCUCCCCCAAGAGUUCACAUCGACGGGGAGGUUUGGCACCUCGAUGUCGGCUCAUCGCAUCCUGGGGCGGUAGUACGUCCCAAGGGUUGGGCUGUUCGCCCAUGAAAGCGGUACGCGAGCUGGGUUCAGAACGUCGUGAGACAGUUCGGUCCAUAUCCGGUGUAGGCGUUAGAAUAUUGAGAGGAGCCUUCUUUAGUACGAGAGGACCGAGAAGGACAUACCUCUGGUGUACCAGUUAUCGUGCCAACGGUAAACGCUGGGUAGCUAUGUGUGGAGUGGAUAACCGCUGAAAGCAUCUAAGUGGGAAGCCCACCUCAAGAUAGGUAUUCUCGC
rnacentral:rRNA from 1 species